rnacentral:lncRNA from 1 species
UUCAUAUAAUAAAUAUUAUGAAAUAUAUUACGUCAUUAUUGAACGUCAUCACUCAUCACCCACCAGAGUGGUGUUCAAAAUCAAAUGAGAGAAAUAUUGACGGAGCAACUGAGGCUCUUAUCCGAUUUCGUCUCAACUCCGUAAGCUUAUGUGAAGGGAUGAAUUUACAAAAAAUAUUGAGUGGGAUGGUAAUCAAUUACUUCUAUCGAUGGGUUCUAUCUAAGGAUGUGAAUUCUCCGAUUAUUUUCGUUUUCCAAUGUUAUGAUAAUAGUACACCUUUGAUUUAUGAGCCAUUUUUGACUUGAUUCAAAACUAUAUUACUUGUAUUUAGUUCUUUUUAGGAAAAAGCUUCAUUGAAGUUGGGACGAGUCUUUUUGGGUGCUCUUUCAUCACUCUGCUUGCUUCUUUGAAUACAGAAAUAUUCAUCAUUCUUCAGGGAAGAAAUAAACUAUAGAUAGUCUCUAUCGAAGGCUCUAUUUUUUACCAAUAAAUACUACAUUUGCCAAUUUUCUAUUAAGUAUUAUUUAAUAUGAUACGAAUGACCAAUUAAAUAUCCAACUUUGCAUGUCUAUGUUUUCUUUUACAAAAGUACAUAGAUUACAAUGCAACCUUCAUAAACUAACAUAUUUUUAAGUGUGUUAUUCUGGUUUUUCAAUUUAUUUUAAGUGUGUUGUAGAAAUAAAUCAUUUGUAUAGGUCCCGCCAAAAUAUACUGUCAGAUAAUUUAUUCAUCUUAAGUUACUAUGACUAACAAUGGGCAGAUAAUUUUUUUAUAAUCUUUUCAAUUAUUUUCGAGAUAUUACCUGUUUUUAUCUUAAAUUUAUAGAAAAUACCUUUGUCGUGAAUUCAAGUAUACAUUUUUGCACUUUGUUGCCGGUAUACCACAUUCUCAAUUUGAUAUUGAUUUGGUAUCCAAAUAAAGGAAUGCGUCAUGCACAUGUAAAACAGAACUUGUAUCUAAAAUCAUGGUGAAUAACUAAGAAGAUAACAAAUGAUUUAUUUACGUUUCAUAAUUUUAAGACCUAAUGAAAUUAACAGUCAAUAAAUUUCUUAAGGUUGUAUUCUUCUUUUUUACAGAGGAAUUACUCAUUAAGGAGUCUUAUAAAUUCGAAAGAGACAUGCAUUUAAAAUAUUAUAUUAUGUUUUGGCCAAAAUAUGAUUUUUUUAUUUGUCAAAUGAUGAAUAAUUGAAUGAUUUGCUUCAUCAGGUGCGACCCCAGGAUUUUAUUUUGGGGGCUUAGUUUUUUGGAAAAUAUUUCUAGACUAAAUUUUUGCCCCCAGAUCUAAAUUUGAUAGAAUGACUUUUCAUUUUAUAGAAAAGCAAGAAAAUUAUUAUCUAAAGCUGACAUGAAUAAAUACAAUUUCUGAUUAUUUAGUCAUAAUGGUAUUAACUUGUACUAGAACAAGCCAAUUUUGAAUGACCAAUUGGAGAUUUAUACAGCUUAUAUAACAUGGUUUAUUCAUGAUUAAGUUACAAUGAUUUUAGCAGUCAUCAUUUUUGCCCAUUUCAAGUUUAUAACUAUAAAGGAUAAUAAAAAAGGAAAGAUCCAAAACUAAUAUAGUUUCAUGUAUCCCCACAGAAAUUUUUGAGUGUGGGGUGUGGCCUGCGUGCUUCAUGCAAGGAAUACUAAAAACAACUGGAGGUGCCUUAAAAUCGCGCUCACUUUUUUUCUACACGAGGAGGCUACACAUUCUAACUUUGUUUUAUAAAUUAUAAUAAAGGAAAUUAGGUUCACCAAAGUUAUUUUUUUUUGUUUUUUUGUUAUUACUUAAUUAAUAAUGGUUAGAAGUGUUCUGUUCCUCGAUGCAAACAGAGCUAUGACUGCAUACUAAGGAUUCGAAUGUGAGCUUUCACAAAUUACCCACGAAGGACUCCAAAUUCCUAACCGAAUGGCUUUGGGCCAUCCCAAGAGAUACGAUUUAAUAGACACCAACAGUGAAUUCAAGACUAUUAUUGAAUCUUUAGAUCAAUCCCGUGAUAAAGAAAAAUCACUCCAACGAAGGUGGUUGAAAGCUGAAGCCAUCCCAUCAAAGUGGUCGAAUCUGGGAAGCUACCUUUCUUCACUAUCACCACCUCCAAGACCAACACAGGCAUCAAUAGAGUGCAUUUGGAGAAUGAAAGACAAGAAGCUCUGGAGUAUGCAAUGUUUAUGGAAGAGAUCGUUCUUUCGGCACAAGAUCUCUAUGACAAACUCUCUUCAGAAUCAUUGACCUCGGGGUUCUUGUAGCUUAAAACUCCAAAAGUUGCAUUUGUCAAAAUCAUAAAUUCAGAUAUGAAAGGGCUUGACAUUACUGCUUACCUGGAGGUGGAAGAACACCUCUCCUUCAGAAUUUUCUGUAACAACAUCGACCUAAAUAAGAUCUUAGUAUCACAUUGCAUAAUUUUCUGAAAAUAGAAUUGACUUUGUAACUGAAGCCAUCAACAUUGCCGCUUUUCUGGGUUACACGGACGGUCUGACAGAGAAAGAACAAUUUUAAAACAUUUAUGAACAGCUCCUUAAUUUUUCUAACUCGGCAAAAAUGGACCAAAUUCCAUUUUCCCAUCUCGUUUUUAUAAUGGAGCAAAUGUCUCAUCUCUUCAAAAAAGCCUAAAGGUAGAAGAUAUUCUUCUGGACUCCAUUUCGUUGGUUUGAUUUGGCACAUUGUUAGUUCUGGCCUCUACGAGCAAAUAUAUACGUCCAAUGCUCCGUCACUUCCGUCUCCGAGAUAUCUUAGGAUCGUAUCCAGUGUCAUUACAGUAGAAAACAGUAUUACCUUCAUCCACGGCAAUGUACUUAAAAGCACGAAUAAGAAGAUGUUUGAAGAGCAGAGAAAAAAAUAUAAAACUGAGGAUCGACGAUAUUUAUUUGGCCCAAAGAAUAGAGUUUGUUAGAGGAAAAUUUGUGGGAACUACAAAUAAUCAAACUUCUAAAACUGUCCUCACCUUGAUAAUCAAGUCAGCCUCGAGUAAGUACAUGGACGUUGUUGCCCUCAUCCCAAUGGUAAACUUGACAACGUAGUUCCUAAACUUAUAAACCGGUUUUACGAUGUACAACAACAGGAAUGGCCUGUUGAAGAAAUAGUUAGCAUGGUACAUAAAUCAAUUUAAAAUAUCUGCUUCUAAAAUAAAGUGAAUUCUUCUCGUCUUAUCAAUCCGUUAUGCCUAUAUCAACAAAAAUAAGUUAGUGAAUAUACUUACUUGUACUUCAGUGAAAAAUUGUUUAUUGAAAAAAUAUCCAAAGGAUACUACUGAAACGUAAAUAGUUUCCUUAUUUGACACAAUUCAACUUGUUCAAGUCGAUCCUUACAAGGCCAAAGAAAGAAUACUUUCUAAAAUCUUAUCCCUGAAAGUAAAUCAAUAUGAUAUGCAAAUUGAGAACAUUAUGGGGAAAUCUCCCUGCUAUAUAACUUUAUCUAUAGGAUCUUCAACACCAGCAAGGAAUAGUAUUUAUCUAGUCAGAUAUAUAUCACAAUCAUUAUCCAAAAACUUGCUCUGUUUGCACAUCUCUAAAAAUAUAUAACUAUGAUAUAACCUUAAAUUAGGAAAAUAACUAAAGUAAAUACUCAACUACCGUUAGUUAUUAUAAUACCUUCAACUAGAAAUGAACUUCUUAGAAACUUAAGUAGAAGUGAUAUACAUUCAAGUUUUUUAGCCAUGAUCAGAGAUUCCUAUUAUGUCUACAGUUUUGUCUACACUAUGGGUAGUCAUAUUCUAGAAUUACUUUACUUUUAGUUGAUAGUAUUAUUAUAGUUUUUAAUAGGUAAAUAGUAAUUGAGUAUUUACCCUGUAUUUUAUCCAAUAUCCUAUGAAAAACCAUAAACAACUUGAAAAUCUGGUGACUGUUUUUCUACCUAUGUUCCUAAAGUAUCGAUAAACUUUUCAACGUUGUGGGGAAAAAUUUGGCAUUGCUUACUGAAGAUAAAAUAUUUGCGAUCAUCACUUCAACAACAAAAGCAUUGCCAAACUACAUUCAAACUAACAUUCGUACUAAUGUACUUCCAAUAUUAUAUUUUUAUCAUUACAUACGAAAUAAAAACUAUUUUUAUACUUAUGUAGAAAAAAAUAUAUGCUAAAUUAAUGUCGAAAG